ACGGAGGGUGCAAGCGUUAAUCGGAAUUACUGGGCGUAAAGCGCGCGUAGGCGGGCGAUUAAGUCAGAUGUGAAAUCCCAGGGCUCAACCUUGGAACUGCAUUUGAUACUGGUCGUCUUGAGUACAGUAGAGGGAGGUGGAAUUUCAGGUGUAGCGGUGAAAUGCGUAGAUAUCUGAAGGAACAUCAGUGGCGAAGGCGGCCUCCUGGACUGAUACUGACGCUGAGGUGCGAAAGCGUGGGGAGCAAACAGG
rnacentral:rRNA from 1 species